UUAUUUAUUGGUUAUUUUUUGCAACCAGAAAAUAACCAGAAAGUAACGUUCCCUGAUGGUUAUUUUCUGGUUAUUCUUUUGCAACCAGAAAAUAACGUUCUCUGAUGGUUAUUUAUUGUUUAUUUUUUUGCAACCAGAAAAUAACCAGAAAGUAACGUUCCCUGAUGAUUAUUUUUGGCUAUUUUUUAUGGUAAAAAUAGUCAAAACUGGUAAACGUCAGUGACGUGAAAUACAUAAAUUAUAAGAUCACAUUAACACAUGUUAUACUGACCAAAUGAAAUUAAUAAAUGUGCCUUUUAAUGGCUGAAAAUAAUAAACUAGUUAAGCUAAAUGAAAAUGCAAUCAUAUAUGUGUAUUUCUUUAGUGUGGUUGUCUGUUACUGUAUGUGUGCGCGCUCGAGCACGUGCAUUCUCCGCUCCGUCGCGCACUUCCGUCAUUUAAAAAUUAACGGUCAUUUCGUUUUACCUCACCCACUAACACAUUAGUUUAGCGGUUUAUUUAUUUUAAUUUUUUAUUUAAAACCGUACAGAUUUGAGAGUAAACUUAUAUUUUCGUGAUUUUCGAUUGAUUUGACACAUCUAAAUCAACAGACCAUGAUGAAAGGACUGAAACUCAGGGCUUUUGAUUGUUAAAUCUAAAGACGGAGCCGCGCUAUACUUCUGUGGUGAGACAAUAAUAUUGUUAGCCUGAAGAUAAUUCAAUGUUUAUUCUUCUGUCAAUAAAAAUCUGCUUUAAAUAUUGUGUUGAAGUCAUUGGUUAUUUUAUUUCGAUAUCUAUAAUGUCUGAUGUUGAGGUAGGCCUACACACAGUGUGGUUUUGUUAGAAAUGAUAUACUGUGCUGUUUAAAUCGAAAAUUAGGCUACUUUAGUGAUGAAAAAGGAAUUAUUAGGCUAAAAGAAUAAUCUAAUGCAUUGAUUUCAUCCUCCAUAUUGUGUGGGAUGAUGCAGUUUACUUAUUUUAAUUAGAUUAGAUUGCGAUGGAUAAAAACACAGCAUGGAUGUAUUCAUUACUGACGUGUAAAUGGACCGAGAAAAAUAUUUUAGGCUAACGUUCUGGGAACGUUCCCAUAACGUUAGUUUCUGGUUCCCAGAAAGUUUUUUUAAGGUUUGUUUUUGGUUAUCUUUACGGAAAUAAACGUUAGUUUCAUGGUUUCUAUAACGUUAGGGUAACGUUCCCCUAACGUUAGUUUUUGGUUCCCAGAACGUUAUGGGAACCAGAAACUAACGUUCUAUUAACGUAAAGAAAACUUUCCUGGAGAACCAAAAACGAACCUUAUAAAAUAACGUUCUGGGAACCAAAAACUAACGUUAGGGGAACGUUCUGGUAACCAAAAACUAACGUUAGGGGAACGUUCUGGAAACCAAAAAUUGUUAGCUGGGUACGUCCAUUAUGACGCGUGACGUCAGGCUCAACAAGCGGAUUGGAUGCCAGGCUUAUUAAUAUAUGAAUCAGCAUUCAUGAGGUGUUUUGCAUUGACUAUUUAUGGGUAAAAAUGGGCGUGUACCAGGCGGGAUAUGAGGCUGAUUCACGUACGCACACUUGCAGGUGAUCUGUGAUUUAUAAAGCCAAUAUUGCUUACAGGUGUGCGUACGCACGGUUUUAUAAAUCUGAAUAUUUUUUGGCGUACGCUAUUUUUGGUUUUCGGGCGCACGUACACUUUUAGUAAGGAUCCUACGCACAGUUUUAUAAAUGAGGCCCCUGGAGCAGGCAGUUUUACGCCCCAAGCAGUUUUGCGACCCAGGCAGUUUUACACCCCUGUUUUUACUUAUUUGUCCAGUAGGGGGCACUGUACAUUAAGAACCACCAGAACAGACCUAAGAACAGAUAACUUCAUCGUCCAUCACGAGUUUAUGGUAAAUAAACGUUUUCAGGCAAUCGUCCAACAUGUAUAGUUUUAAAUGAUUCAUUGAUAUCGAUAUGAAUUCAUUUCAACAUCUAAAAAGAUAUGUACGGUAUUUGUAAUUUAUACUCAAAGACAAUAAAAUGUAUACUUAUUGACCAGGUCGAUGUUCUGUCUGGAUCAACCUUAGCUAACCACGUGUAUGCUUACUCGAUAUCUCUUACUCGUUUUCAUAAUUAUUUUCUUUUUAAUUUUCUUUUGUUGUCUGUCUCUAGCCUAUGUGAUGGCCUUUUCUGGUAACAUAUUCUUCUGCCCUUACGUAAAUUGACCAUGGUUUUACUACAGUUAAAACCAAAAAACCAUGGUUACUGUAGUAAAACAAUGGUUAUCACAAAAUAACCAUGGUUUUGAAAACCAUGUUUUUGUAAAAACCAUAGCAAAGUAAUCAAUGCACCAAAAAACCAUGGUUACUACACUUGUACCACAAAAAGAAAAAACAUGGUUUAUUUUCGUAAGGGUGACCCUGUUUACUUGCAUUAAUACAUAACAUUACUACAGUAGGCUUAUAUGUAAACCAUUUUAAUUUAGCUGCACACAUACUUGAGUUAUUUAUUAUUUUAAGUUGUUACAACUUCCUACAAAAUGGAGAGCCCCAUAUUCCGAACUAACAAUUAAUCACAGGUGAGAACAUCACAGUCAACAUAAUAUUUAGCCAGCAAACAAUUUUCUUAAAUGUGUAUUAAGAAAACAAAAGAUCAAUAAUCGAGCACCAACAACCACAAACAUGUUCAAACUCAAAUUGAAAACUUUAUUCCCAUAUGGAAUAAAAUAAAUGAUCAUAUUAUGUAAUGUACAUAUAAAUACAUUUUUGUUAAAAUAGCUUAAUGAUCCUAAUUAAAAUUUAUGUGCACCUAAUGUGGGUUUAUCAUGUUUGUGAUUUAGUGCUCAAUUAAUCGUGUAUCUUGUUUUCUUAAUAGCAAUUGUUGGCUGGCUAAUUAGGCCUAUUAUGUUGUGAUGUUAUUGAUCUCAUCUGUAAUAAUACUUGGAAAUAAUAAAAAUGUGUUCAAGAAUGCAUUUUACAUAUUUACUGCACUUUUAACCAAUAGCUUGUCUAAUAAAUACAUAAAUGACUUACAGAGACAUAUGUGGCAAUGUUUUAAUGACAUUCUCAAUUUUCUUUGCACAGUCCAUCAUCAGUGGCCAAAAGAAAUCAAAGUGGCUUGACAUAUUUUGCAAUCCUUCUGCCAAAACCAUGCUUGUGCCUGUGUACGUUGACAAUCAGGACCAAACUGAUGACUUACUUUCACCUCACUUCAUUUCUGGACAGGACACCCACACAGACUCACAGUGACACGAUCAAGUUUAUUAUGGAUGUCCUUUUUCCAGAGUCCAUCAUCUGUUCCCUUGCUGGUUUGUAAAAUCUCACCAUGCUGGAGGCUGAGGAGAAAUUUCUACAAGUCAUUGACAUACAAGUGAGCGGGAGCAGUUUGACAGGAGGAUUAAGAACAUUUUGAAGUAGAGUGAGUCAUUAUCCGCAUAGGAGUCAUUAUCGAGAGCCAUCCUAUAAUGAUCAUCAAUCCUGUUUUUGAUAAUGGUCUUAAUAAAUAAUGUUGU